UAAACAAUAUAUGGUAACUGU
rnacentral:piRNA from 1 species